AGCGAACGCUGGCGGCAGGCCUAACACAUGCAAGUCGAACGGACCCUUCGGGGUUAGUGGCGGACGGGUGAGUAACACGUGGGAACGUGCCCUUUGGUUCGGAAUAGCUCCUGGAGACGGGUGGUAAUGCCGAAUGUGCCCUUCGGGGGAAAGAUUUAUCGCCAUUGGAGCGGCCCGCGUCUGAUUAGCUAGUUGGUAGUGUAACGGACUACCAAGGCGACGAUCAGUAGCUGGUCUGAGAGGAUGAUCAGCCACAUUGGGACUGAGACACGGCCCAGACUCCUACGGGAUGCAGCAGUGGGGAAUCUUGCGCAAUGGGCGAAAGCCUGACGCAGCCAUGCCGCGUGAAUGAUGAAGGUCUUAGGAUUGUAAAAUUCUUUCACCGGGGACGAUAAUGACGGUACCCGGAGAAGAAGCCCCGGCUAACUUCGUGCCAGCCGCCGCAGUAA
rnacentral:rRNA from 1 species